GACGAACGCUGGCGGCGCGCCUAACACAUGCAAGUCGAACGAGAGAUGAGGAGCUUGCUCUUCAAAUCGAGUGGCGAACGGGUGAGUAACGCGUGAGGAACCUGCCUCAAAGAGGGGGACAACAGUUGGAAAUGACUGCUAAUACCGCAUAAGCCCACGGCUCGGCAUCGAGCAGAGGGAAAAGGAGCGAUCCGCUUUGAGAUGGCCUCGCGUCCGAUUAGCUAGUUGGUGAGGUAACGGCCCACCAAGGCGACGAUCGGUAGCCGGACUGAGAGGUUGAACGGCCACAUUGGGACUGAGACACGGCCCAGACUCCUACGGGAGGCAGCAGUGGGGAAUAUUGCACAAUGGGGGAAACCCUGAUGCAGCGACGCCGCGUGGAGGAAGAAGGUCUUCGGAUUGUAAACUCCUGUUGUUGAGGAAGAUAAUGACGGUACUCAACAAGGAAGUGACGGCUAACUACGUG
rnacentral:rRNA from 1 species